AUUGAACGCUGGCGGCAGGCCUAACACAUGCAAGUCGAGCGGAUGAAGGGAGCUUGCUCCUGGAUUCAGCGGCGGACGGGUGAGUAAUGCCUAGGAAUCUGCCUGGUAGUGGGGGAUAACGUCCGGAAACGGGCGCUAAUACCGCAUACGUCCUGAGGGAGAAAGUGGGGGAUCUUCGGACCUCACGCUAUCAGAUGAGCCUAGGUCGGAUUAGCCAGUUGGUGGGGUAAAGGCCUACCAAGGCGACGAUCCGUAACUGGUCUGAGAGGAUGAUCAGUCACACUGGAACUGAGACACGGUCCAGACUCCUACGGGAGGCAACAGUGGGGAAUAUUGGACAAUGGGCGAAAGCCUGAUCCAGCCAUGCCGCGUGUGUGAAGAAGGUCUUCGGAUUGUAAAGCACUUUAAGUUGGGAGGAAGGGCAGUAAGUUAAUACCUUGCUGUUUUGACGUUACCAACAGAAUAAGCACCGGCUAACUUCGUG
rnacentral:rRNA from 1 species